rnacentral:tRNA from 1 species
GCGGUCGAGGAAGUGGCCGCGCUCCACGGCCUGAUGAGCCGUCUGGAGUACCUGCCCUCCUCCCCCACCCUGUUCAAUUCCGGCACCCGUC